UUUUCUUAGUGGCGAACGGGUGAGUAAUGCGUAGGAAUCUACCUCCUUGUAUAGUAUAAAAUACUAAAUAAUAGGACAUUAAUGUCUGCUAGGACAUGAGCCUAUGUAGGAUUAGGUAGUUGGUGAGGAAAAAGCUUACCAAGCCUGUGAUCCUUAGUUGUUCUGAGAGGUUGAACAACCACACUGGGACUGAGACAAGGCCCAGGCUUUAUUUGAGGCCAGCAGUGAGGAAUCUUGGGCAAUGAGCGUAAGCUUGACCCAGCAAUAUCACAUGGGAGAAGAGAGCUUUUUGGCUGUAACUCUCUUAGUUUAAGGAAGAUAAUGACGUUACUUAAACGAAUAGCCCCGGCUAACUUCGUGCCAGCAGCCGCGGUAAGACGAAGGGGGCGUGCGUUAUCCAUCAUGACUGGGCGUAAAGGGCCCGUAGGCGGUCUUUUGUUGUUUAAGGUGAAAACGUAAAGCACAACUUUUAAAAGCCUUUUAUACUCAAAAUUCUAUGAACUUGAAGGAAGAUAACAGAAUUUCAUAUGUAGGGGUGAUAUCCUGGAACAUAUGAAGGAAGACCAGUGGCGAAGGCGGUUAUCUAUUUCAAUAUUGACGCUCAGGGACUAAAGCAUGGGGAGCAAACAGGAUUAGAUACCCUGGUAGUCCAUGCCCUAAAAGCUGAGUGCUUGUGUCUAACGUAGUUUAGAUGCUUAGCGAACGCAGGAAGCACUCCGCCUGGGAAGUACGGCCGCAAGGUUGGAACUCAAAG
rnacentral:rRNA from 1 species